rnacentral:rRNA from 1 species
CCUACGGGAGGCUGCAGUGGGGAAUAUUGGACAAUGGGGGCAACCCUGAUCCAGCCAUGCCGCGUGUGUGAAGAAGGCCCUCGGGUUGUAAAGCACUUUCAGUGAGGAAGAACGCCUGGUGGUUAAUACCCAUCAGGAAAGACAUCACCCACAGAAGAAGCACCGGCUAACUCCGUGCCAGCAGCCGCGGUAAUACGGAGGGUGCGAGCGUUAAUCGGAAUUACUGGGCGUAAAGCGCGCGUAGGUGGCUUGAUAAGCCGGUUGUGAAAGCCCCGGACUCAACCUGGGAACGGCAUCCGGAACUGUCAAGCUAGAGUGCAGGAGAGGAAGGUAGAAUUCCCGGUGUAGCGGUGAAAUGCGUAGAGAUCGGGAGGAAUACCAGUGGCGAAGGCGGCCUUCUGGACUGACACUGACACUGAGGUGCGAAAGCGUGGGUAGCAAACAGGAUUAGAUACCCCUGUAGUC